rnacentral:ribozyme from 1 species
UUUUUUUUUUUAAACCAGACAGAUGGUGUGAUAUGAUGUUUUGUUUGAAUACAAAAGAAAUAUGGUUUUAUUGUUUAUUGUUUUUUUUGUUUUUUAUUUUUUUGAAUUAU